rnacentral:rRNA from 1 species
CAGUAGCCGCGGGAAUACAGAGGGUGCGAGCGUUAAUCGGAUUUACUGGGCGUAAAGCGUGCGUAGGCGGCUUCUUAAGUCGGAUGUGAAAUCCCUGAGCUUAACUUAGGAAUUGCAUUCGAUACUGGGAAGCUAGAGUAUGGGAGAGGAUGGUAGAAUUCCAGGUGUAGCGGUGAAAUGCGUAGAGAUCUGGAGGAAUACCGAUGGCGAAGGCAGCCAUCUGGCCUAAUACUGACGCUGAGGUACAAAAGCAUGGGGAGCAAACAGGAUUAGAUACCCCAGUAGUCCCUGUCUCUUAUAA